UCCAUACAUUUCACAAUAUCUUUAAUUAAUUCGAUUUUUUUGUCAUACUCCAUUUUCUAAAAUAUUUAUAUUAUAUUAUGUAUAUCUGUAUACAUAUUUGCAAAUUACUUGCCAAAAGAUGAAAUUAAAUUUUUUAAAUAUAUUCAAAAUAUUAAUUUCAAAAAAUAUACUCAAAUGCAACUAUGUACUACGAAAGAAAGAAGACGAAUGCCGAAAAACGUCGCAGCGAACUGCUACGAAUAAGAACACAAAGCGAGUUGCUGAACACUGGAAACUCGGCGCGAUUCUCCUCUCCUCGUCGCCUCCUCGCCUAUAAACCAAGAGUUGCCGAGACAAAAGUUGCUGCGUGUAAUAAGCGAGUUAUGCAAGUUCAUACAUAUGAAUACAUAUUUACGCACGUUGGAAGGCGAAGCUGUUACAGCGGCAAAGGAAGCAGUAACAAUCGGCGAUCGUUUGUUAGUUUCUUUCGCGUCUCGUCGCGUCAAUGCUUCGACAGAAUGAUGUGCUGAACACAUAGAACGCGACAGACUGCAAGCGCCAUCUGAAUCUGAUAUUGAAAUACACACAUUCUUAAGGACACAGUUAUUUAGACAGCUGCACAACUACAUAACUGUGUCCAUAAGAACGUGUGUAUUUUAAUAUUUGACAGAUGUCGCUUGCAGCCUGCCCCGCUCUAUGUGUUCCGGGCGUGACUCUUUGAGUUUCGGUCAUUGAUUGUCCGUGACAACGGAGAUGCGAAAGAUGCGUGCGACACUUGUUAUUAUGAAUGUAUGUACAUUGUUUUCGUAGCAUACAGACAAAUGUGCCAAAGAAAUAAUAUACAUAUGUAUGUAUGUAUAUGCCAUAGAAAUUCUAUUGAUACAAAUAUGGAAAUGAUAACGAAAUAAUGCGAAUAUGCACAUUUCAUGAAGGUCAUCAAUUUUCUUUGAAGAAAUGAAGUUCAUUUUGCACAUCUUCACUUUGUAAUAGUGGAAAUAAAUAUAAUUUAUUUGAAAUAUUACUUUAUUUAAAUAAAAAUAAAGAGAAAUAAAAUUAAAAUAAUUUUUCCUAAUUUUUCCCGUGUUUUGGACGAUGGAACAAACAUCAUAAUGAAGACUUAUGAUUUAUGGUCGAGUAGGUUCUGAAGAACUAGGAGAAAACUAUCAUACGUUGCCACUAAUCUUAGCAAGAGAUUUCAAUAUCAAUUUCGCAUCCGAAGAUGGACAACUCUUGAGAAACUUUCUACGAGAUAAAUUAGAAUUACAAAUGAAUUAUGACCGUAAUGAGCCAACUACAAGACAUGGAACAACAAUCGAUGCAGUUUUUUCUAGAUUUCUGUCUAAUUUUAAUUCUAAAAUAUAUGUAUCGUAUUUCUCGUAUCAUAAGCCUAUUGUCUCGGUUUUACAAUCAACCACAGUAAUUACUGAUGUACCCAAUAAUGAAAACAACGAAUAAAACAAUGCAAAAAAAUAAAAGAUCUAUGCAAAAAUAUUAAUUUACUAAUGAAAACAUAAAAUAAAUUUAAAUAUUUGUAGGAAAUAAAUAUAUGUAUAUGUGCAUACAUGUAUAUAUUGCACACACACAUUCAUAUAUAUAGUACAAUCGUGCUUUCACAGACACUUGUCGCGACAUGUUGGUGUGAGGUGUCUGGCACUGUCCGUGCGCUAUUGUGCGCAUAGGCCGUGGACAACGCUGAUAUAGAUAGAGAGAAAGAAGUUUUACUUCAGUCGUGCGGUCAUAAGCACACUCUCUUUUUAAACGUGCAGUUACAAAAUUUUGUAAAAAUGUCACAAGUUUGCUUUAUUUGCAAUGAAUCUUUGACUGAAAGUGAAAUUGUGGUUGUUGAUCGUGGGCUAAAGGCUUUAAUAGAUUCAAGUACCGAGAGGCGUGAUGGGUUUGAUGAAUAUUAGAAGGACAAAACAUCUGUAACGAUACAUAAGCAGUGUCGUAAUGCAUACACCCGGAAGAGCAGCAUCGCCAGUCGCACUAUUUUUCUUUAAUUAUUAUGUUUGUAUAUCCACUAACCUUGUCGUAUUAAAGUAAAUGAAAACUCUCAACAACAAA